rnacentral:tRNA from 1 species
GGGCGAAUGGCGGAAUUGGCAUACGCGUACGCUUCAGGAGCGUAUGGGAGCAAUCCUAUGAGGGUUCAAGUCCCUCUUCGCCCA